GACAGAGGUGCCGAGCGUUAGGCGGAAUCACUGGGCUUAAAGCGUGUGUAGGCGGACCGUUAAGUACCUUGUGAAAUCCUGCGGCUCAACCGCAGAACGGCUGGGUAUACUGGCGGUCUUGGGCCACCUAGGGGCAGAUGGAACAGACGGUGGAGCGGUGAAAUGCGUAGAUAUCGUCUGGAACGCCGAUGGGUGAAAACAGUCUGCUGGGGGUGUGCCGACGCUGAGACACGAAAGCCAGGGGAGCAAACGGG
rnacentral:rRNA from 1 species